rnacentral:rRNA from 1 species
UACGUAGGGGGCAAGCGUUGUCCGGAGUUACUGGGCGUAAAGCGCACGCAGACGGUCGAUUAAGUUUGGAGUGACAGUUGGUGGCUUAACUGCCAAAGUGCUUUGAAAACUGAUCGACUUGAGGGCUUCAGAGGGACACGGAAUUCCGGGUGGAGUGGUGAAAUGCGUAGAGAUCCGGAGGAACACCGAAGGCGAAGGCAGUGUCCUGGGGAGUACCUGACGCUCAGGUGCGAAAGCCAGGGGAGCGAACGGG